rnacentral:misc_RNA from 1 species
ACAAACUUGGUCAUUUAGAGGAAGUAAAAGUCGUAACAAGGUCUCCGUUGGUGAACCAGCGGAGGGAUCAUUACCGAGUUUUCAACUCCCAAACCCACUGUGAACCUAUACCUCUCAGUUGCUUCGGCGGCCGCGGCCCCGGCGGCGACCCCCCCGGGCGUCCUCCCUCCCAGCGAGGGCGGGGCGGCAGGAGGGGUCGGCCCGGACCACACGGCCCCCGCCGGAGGACCCCAAAACUCUUGUUUUCGAACCUCAGUAUUCUGAUUUCUUACAAAACAAAAUGAAUCAAAACUUUCAACAACGGAUCUCUUGGUUCUGGCAUCGAUGAAGAACGCAGC